rfam:Allomyces macrogynus ATCC 38327 genomic scaffold supercont3.71, whole genome shotgun sequence.
GGGGGUAUAGCUCAGUGGCAGAGCAAUCGACUGCAGAUCGAUAGGUCCCGGAUUCGACUUCCGGUGCCCCCU